rnacentral:ncRNA from 1 species
UCAUAUCCGUUGGGGUGCCCACUUGAGGGGCUGAGAGGCAAGGCCAACCCAUCGAACCUGAUCCGGUCAGUACCGGCGUAGGGAACGGAAAUGGACCAUCA